UUCCGGUUGAUCCUGCCGGACCCCACUGCUAUCGGGAUGGGACUAAGACAUGCUAGUCGAGCGUCUCCAAGCUAUGGAAGAGACGCGGCACACAGCUCAGUAACACGUGGCUAACCUGCCCUUGGGACAAGGACAACUCCGGGAAACUGGGGCUAAUCCCUGAUAAGUGAGAACUCCUGGAAUGGAUUCUCGCUCAAAGGACGUUUAGACCAUGCUUCUAGGCGUCGCCCAAGGAGGGGGCCGCGACCGAUCAGGUUGUUGGUGAGGUAACGGCUCACCAAGCCUUUAACCGGUACGGGCCGUGAGAGCGGAAGCCCGGAGAUGGGCACUGAGAUAAGGGCCCAGGCCCUACGGGGCGCAGCAGUUGCGAAAACUCCGCAAUGCACGAAAGUGUGACGGGGCUACCCCGAGUGCCGUCCGCUGAGGAUGGCUUUUCUCCGCUGUAAGGAGGCGGAGGAAUAAGGAGAGGGCAAGACUGGUGUCAGCCGCCGCGGUAAUACCAGCUCUCCGAGUGGUAGGGAUGAUUAUUGGGCUUAAAGCGUCCGUAGCCGGCCUGGCAAGUCUUCCGUUAAAUCCAGCAACCUAAUUGUUGGGCUGCGGGGGAUACUGUUAGGCUAGGGGGCGGGAGAGGCCGACGGUAUUCUCGGGGUAGGGGUGAAAUCUUAUAAUCCCGGGAGGACCACCAGUGGCGAAGGCUGUCGGCUAGCACGCGCCUGACGGUGAGGGACGAAAGCUGGGGGAGCGAACCGGAUUAGAUACCCGGGUAGUCCCUGCUGUAAACGAUGCGAGCUAGGUGUUGGGGCGGCUACGAGCCGCUUCAGUGCCGCAGCGAAGGCGUUAAGCUCGCCGCCUGGGGGAGUACGGCGCAAGGCUGAAACUUAAGGAAUUGGCGGGGGAGCACCACAGCGCGAAGCUUGCGUUCAAUUGGAGUCACGCCGG
rnacentral:rRNA from 1 species